GCCUAUACCCGAGUUUUCUCAACACUUAGUAAAAAAAAACAGAAAUUUUCUUUCUCAACCCUAACCACACGACAGCCGACCUCCUCUUCAUCAUCCUCAUCCUCCGCCUCCGACCAGCACCCGACGGCUCCCAUCCUCCUUCUCCGGCUCUGACCGUUCUCCACCCAAUGUGAGCCCUCUCAUUCUCUUUCUCAAUCUUGCCGUCGAUUUCAAUUAUCUUGAGAAGCCAUCGCCGCCACCAAGAUCUCUCUCACUAUCGCCGCCGGUCUCGGGAUCUCUCUCACUAUCACUGCCGGUGUCAGUGCCAAGAAAUAUAAAGAGCCUCCUUCUUCUAUUGGAGAUGCCUCCGAUAGGGUUCGUUCUCUUCUCUCUCUCUUUCUGUUUAUGCCCUGGGGCUAUUGUUGGUUACUUUAAUCAGUGAUUGAUAAGCUUCCUUCUGUGUUUGUAUUACUGUUGGAGCUUAAUUGGUUCUGGGCUUAAUUCUAGGUCAUUCAAUGACCAGUGGGAUUUCUUGGUUAGGCGUUUUAGCUUUAGAUUGGUAUAUUCUGUGCUAAAGUUGUUGGUUUAUUUGCAAACAAACAAAUAGAUUAAUAAAAGGGGCGAUACAGUGGAUGAGAAGAUCAAGAAGCUUGAUGUUGAACUUAAUAGAUACAAAGAGCAUGUCAAGAACACAAGACCUGGCCUGCACAGGCAGCUGUUAAGGUGAGAGCCAUGAGGGUUCUCAAGCAAAAACGAAUGUAAAGAAGUAUUCAAUUUGCCAAAACUUCAGUAUCUGUAUUUCAAAGGUCCUGAGAUUCUUGUUGAUUUACAAGAUUAUGACUAUUCUUUGGUCUAGUGGAUUCUCGGUUGUAUGUUUGCUGGAAUGGGUGAUUACGUAAAUUCAAUGAGAGCAGCACAGGAGUUCAGCUCAAGAAUGUUUGAUUCCAUAAAGAUGGUUUCAACAAUGAAGAAGUCGAUCUUUGAUGAACAAACUAACAAGGCCUUAAGGAAAUUGCAAAAGAAUGCUCAAAAGAAGAAUACGCAUCAUGAUGUGGUUCGAGUUGAAUGGGCAAAUCAUGUUAUACAGUUCUAACUUUGGUUCUUUUUAAGGUAGAUGAGUAGCACUUGAAACUGCUUUUAUGCAUUUAUAUAUAACUGAUGGAAAGUGUUGAUGAACUUAAAUUAUGCAUGCAGUUGCUCUGUCUAGCUACUCUUUCUUUACCUUAUAGGUUUUUGACUUGGUGCACUAGGUAAAUGAUCGAGAUAAGAUGGUUUUUUGGUUCUCUCGAUCAUAAUGUAACUGUUGGCUAGGUUUAGAGUUGGAACUAUGGAUUGUAUUUUGGAUGAUGUUGAUGCAAUUAAUGAAACGUAGCCAUCAUUUUCAAUGCUGAUUUUAGUCCAAUUUUAUGGUUUUGAUGAUUGUAAAUGACUG